AGGUGAGCUUUACAUUUAGGCAAAGCCUCUGACUAAUGAACAAAGGUUUCAAUCAUUGGAAAAAAAGAUAGAAAAGCUGGAAAAUAUAGUCCAAACUCUGUUACUGUCAAAUGAACAGAAAGAUAAAGUAACUGCAAGAAAAGAUCUUAAGAUUGCUGUCUUGCAAAGUGAAAAUGAAGAACUUCAGGCUAAAUUGCAGGGAUUGCAGGGAAACUGCUCAAUAAAUGAGCCACCAGAUGUGCUGGAAUGUAGAAAUCCUAAGCGAGACAAAGCAAAACACAUUGGCCGCAGCUUUCUGAAUUUGCUUUGCUGCUGCUGGUCAAAGCAGACGCAAAGCACAAUGUGAUAUAGCAAAAUUCUUAAACAGAUUUAUUUUAAAAAUAAAACUUUAAAUUAUUUUGGUUAAUUUAGAACAUAUAUUAAGUAAUUUUGCUAAAAUACAGGUUGUACUUAUAACCGCAUGAGUACACUCUUUCGUUUAUUUUAUCUUUAAGCGAAAAAAAUGAGAGCGUGUUAUAACAAUUGUAGUUUUGCCUUCAAGUUUUCUUUGCUUAGUGUGUGCAGAAAAAAUGCGAUAACAGUAUAAAUCAAGCAUAUAUAUCACAGCAAAUUAAAUAAAUGCAAUUAAAUAAUGGUGACACAAUCUCUAAUACAUGUAAGGUUGGGAUUUUCAAUAUUCAGGGCUGUUUUAUUAAAAGAUAGUAAAAAACAUGGAUGCUGACAGUGUAUAGUCUAUACAAGUUAAUACAACUACCCAGUUUCAAGAAUAAGAGUCCAAUGAAUUCCAGGAACACAACAAAGCAGUCAUAAGGUAGUCAAAUAAAGCUCAAUGCUGCCAUCUUGGGACUAAACUUAUUGGUUCUUGUUUCCAGACAAGAAAUAUUUCAAGGUCAAUCAACUAGAAAGAGAACUAAGGCUAGAAGUAAUGCUUGGCUUUAUCUAUGAGGAAGUUAGUCUGGCUCCUCUGUUUCGAUAUUUGCAAGAAGAAUUUAUAAUAAUAUCUUCAAGUAUGAUAUUUUGUUAUGCAGCCCCUAACUAAAUAUUACAUUUGACCUAGAGUUGUUGCGCCCACUUUUCAAGUCGAGGUCACAGUAGUUGAUUAUAAUCAAAGAUAAUGAAUAAGAUUGAUUAUCCCAACAUAAUGUUUUGUAUAUAUAAUGUUAAUUUGAAAAGAUUUCAAAUAUUUUAUUUUACAAACAAAAUAUAGCAAUCAUUUCAAUAAAACAAUAGAAAAAUGGCAGCAUAUACAAGUAGUGAAAGAGAAAAGAUGAAAAGAGAGAUUGAUGCAUUGCGUAAAAAGGACCAAGAGAAUCGUAAAAAGAUAAAAGAACUGGAAGAUGAAAAUCAGAAGAACAAUGCAAACCUACGGAGAACAAUUCUACAGAUUCUUCAGAAGGCAGGAGACAAGAUUGCCCACCCAGUGCUUACAAUCAUGGCUGCAUCUGAAGGAUUUAGCUUGAAUUUGGAAAACCACGGCAAAAUAUUUGUCCGUGGUGUAAUUCCAGAACCUUACCAGGAAGUCGCUCUAACAUUAGUGAAUGGUGUUGUAACUAUUAUAAAAGGAGCUAUUAAUUGCAUUAAAAGCUUUUUUCAGUAUUUAGUGGAAUGGGUUCAAGGAAAACUAGCCAUUAAGAAUGAGUAAUUCAUAAAAAAUUAUUAAGUGGAGUAAUUUAAUUCCUCUCGUGUAUUAGUUUAAACUUUUAGUAGAAACUGAUUACAUAGUAAUGUUUAAAAUUUUCUAAUUUAAUUUAAAAAAAAAAAUGAUAUAAAAAAUGUGUACAUAUUGUAAUGAUAUUCUUUGACUUUAGAGGAACCCCAUAUAUAAAGACUAAUGGCCUGGCUUUAAUAGUGUAUAUAAUAAUAUUGUGUGUUUUGAUUUAAUCGUAGUAAUUAACAAUAAAAUUGCUCAUUAUUUGAACAACUUGUGAUUUUUCAGCUCAUUUGAAUAUUAGUUUACAUACAGGUGGUUAUUGAUUAAAAUUAAUUAUCACAAGAUUAUACUUUGUUGCAAUCAUGUAAAAACUGACUUUUUUACCCAGUGAUUAGUGAUGGGUGUAAAUUGUCAGCCAUACAUUACAAAAAAAAUCACAAAAAAUGAAUUACCCACAAAGACAUUUUUGAGUUUAUCAUUCAAGCUUGUAAAAAGUGUUUCAUUAUCAUUUGUUAUGAAUAAAAUUAAUUAAAUUAAACUCAAGUCUUCAUUUCAAACAAAACAACACAAUAUUAUGUAAUGGUGUUCAGUUUGUGUUUGUGCGUAAAGCCAAUGAAAAGGCCAGAAAACAAUCAAAGUUAAUGGGAAGUUGGAUUACUAUAUUCAUGACCAGGUCUGGUUCCGCAUUAUACAAAGAAAAUAAAACUCUAGACAGCGGUGUUGGAAGUGUUGCUAAACUUUAGUUCCUCAUUUUUAAAGUUCCUCAAUUGUAAAACGAGGAUCCAGCCAACCGUUUUGUCUGCUUCAUGGCUGAAAAUUUAAGGUUCACCGCCACGUCAAGUUUUAACUGGGUUGUAUGUAGGAGCUUUUGGGGUAGUCAGAAGGUAGUCAAAUAAUGCUCAAUGCUGCCAUCUUGGGACUAAACUUAUUGGUUCUUGUUUCCAGACAAGAAAUAAUUCAAGGUCAAUCAACUAGAAAGAGAACUAAAGGUAAAAGUAAUGCUUGGCUUUACUUAUGGUGAAUUCAGUCUGGUUGUUCAACUCUAAGGUAAGCUUGCAAACAUAAGCUAUUUUGUGGCCUCUUUAAAAAUGGCAACUGAAGACCACAACUUUCUUGAUUUUGUUUUAAAAGCUGGGGGCUUUUCUGUCAAUAUUACAGGGACAUCAUUGCCCAUUCUUUCUUUUGCUGUUGGUAUGGGAUUUAUCAUUGCUGUAAUGGGGUGGCUCUGUAUCAAAGGUGGUUGGGUGGCAGGGCAGCAGGAACUAGAAAAAAUGAAGCUUGAACAAAAAAUAAUAAAGGAGGAACGAAAAGGAAUGAUUCAAUACAGAAAAAGGCUUGAAUUAGAAGGAAUACGAUAGUUCGUGAAAGAGAUGAAUGUGGUGUGUGCUAAAAACUGCUUCUGGAUUUUCAACGAUAAAAACUAGAGCAUGUGCUUAAUAGCGCGUGGAAAUAUUUUUGUUUAGCUUGUAAUGUCAAAUAGUUUUGUAUACAUUGUUAAAAUGUAGAGUUAAAACAACACCAUUUGUGUGAUUGUUAUAUACAAGGAUAGGCAACUAAGCCGUGUGUAUAUUUUAUAAGAUGUUUUGAAAGGUUUGCUAUGAAAUAAGAACUCUAAUGUUCUUGUGUAAUGAUGAAUAAAUUAAUAAAUGUAUUUACCCUCGCAUGGUUGGAAAACGACAGUUGUUAUAACACGGGUGUUCUGUUUCAUACACUUCGUGACGGCUAACAGGUUACCACGUAUAACUUUGUGGGCGAAUAUAUAUUUUUUUUUUGAAUGGUAAAAUUUAGACAACCCAGCAGCACAAGCAUCACAGAAAAAUGUCUAUCACUAUAUAAAAAUUCCAUGAUUAUAUAAAACUUCGUAAAUAAUUUUAUAAAGGUAUACAAUCCAUACACAGCUGUCGAAAAUUUACCAUAUUUGAAUAAAUGAGAAUAAAAACUAAUAAUGGUGAAACAAGCUCUAAUACGUAUGAGCUAUGAUUUUCAAUAUCCAUGGCUGUAAUAUUUAAUGACAGUGUAAUGUAUAUACAACUACCAACAGAAUAAAGCAGUCAAAUAAAGUUAACUUCACAAAGUUUAAGUCGAAUACAACAAGUCCAAUACAGCUCAAUGCUGCCAUCUUGGGACUAAACCUAUUGGUUUUUGUUUCAAGAUAAGAUAUUUAAGUCAGAGUUAAAGAUUAACUUUUGCUUCAUAUAAAGCUGACUACUGUCGUGUAUGGGCUUUUUAGUUCCUUUUAUAGCUAAGAAAAGAAAUGGCUUGUAAUUCAAGACCAAUCAACCAGAAAGAGGAACUAGAGGCAAAAGAGGAACUUGACUGAAGAGAAAUUCAGUCUGACUGUUCAACUUUAAGCUAAUUUAUUCUUCGUGGUAUCUUUGAAAAUGUCCGCUCUGGAAGUUAUAUUGAAAGCUACCACUGCUGUUGUGGCAGUGGGGUCAGUAUCCUUCACUUUUACAGGGAUAGCAGCAAUAAUUGUUGGUGUUGCUGCUGCUGCAGGGUUGCUCUACAUCUUAGUGAAGUAUCUGCCAAAGUGGAUUCAGCAGUUGAUUGACUGGACGACUAGGGUUCGAGUUGUCAACAAACAAGCAUAAAACCUCCAGUAAUUGUUGGUCACAAAUGGACAUGGAUACUUGUAUAUAAAUAACAAUUAUGUAGAUCUCCUUUCAUGUUAAUGCUUUCUAAUACAAAAGCUGAUUAUGAAUUUAAAUCAAUGUAUUUCAUGCAAUCUUUCCUAUGUGAGGCCAUUAUAGGCAUAUUAUAACUAAUGCAAUAAAUACAAUGUGAUUAGUUA